UUUUUUUUUUAAUAAUUCCUAUUUAGUUUAUUUUCAUAAUGAUGAUAAUAAUACAUAAUAUAAUGUAUAUAAUAAUAAUAUAAAUAUUAAUAUUAAUUGUAACCAACAUAAUAAUAAUAAAUUAAUUAAUUAUAUAUAAUUGUAUAUUAUGUAUUAUAAUAUGAUACCUAACAUAUUAUUAUUUUUAUAUUGACUGUAAAAAAACAUAACUAAAAACACGCUUUGGCCAUUAGUCUCGUACACAACAAACGUAAAAAUAAUACAUUAUUAAUUAUUAUUUUUAAGUUUAAUAAUAUUAAUUAAUUGUAACUUUUUUUUUUUUUUUGUAUGAAGAUUUUGCAUCAUUCUAAAAAGGAAAGUCAUUAACAAUAUAAUAAAUGAUAAUUAUCAUUACAUGACAUAUUUUUUUUUUUCUAGAGUUUUUGAUUACAUUAUAUUAUGUGUCAUCAUCGCAAUAAUUAUAUAAGUUUUGAUUUUUGUCUGUAUAACGUGUCGUUAUAGUGUUCAUAUUAUUUUUUUUUACAAUUAUAAUUACAUACGUAAAAUACCUACUCCAAUAAAUUAUUAUACAUAAAUAAAUAAUAUAAUAUUAUUGCAUAUUAUUUAUUUAUUAUAUUAUCUUAUAAAGGUAUAUGCAGUUAAAUUGUGUACGUAACGUGUAAUGGGGUAUGUUUCGAUUUUUAUUAAUAUUUUUAUUUUUAUUUUCGUCAUACAAUGACAAUAUUUAUCAAUAAUAAUAAUGUUAUAGGUUAGGUACCUAUUUAUCUAUCUAUUUAUCUAUAUAAUACGUCAUACCUAUAAUAUAUUAUCAAUUUUGCUUAAGCACACAUUUUUUUUUUUUUUUUUUUUUUAUUUUAUUGUUUACACUAAUAAAUAAUCUAUACAACGUAACAUAUUAUUAUUAUUAUUGUAAAAAAAAAAAUUGGACGGACGGUGAAAAAAACAAAGUGAUGUCAGAUAACGUGAUUUAUUAUUAUUUACUUAUACAGGUAACGACUUGUCAUUAAAAUAUUAUAAGGGCUGCGGCAGGCAGUUAAAUAAUUCUGAUAGUCUGAAUAAUUUAGCUAGAUGAGGUGAUUUCUUUUACCGUAUUAUUUUCUAUGACUAUAUUAUUCGUAUAGGAAUGUUUAUUUAUAUAUGUAAGUAUACUUUUAAAUUUAUUUCAUAUACGGUUAUAUUAUUCAUCGGCAAUCCGUCCAAUUUACAAAAAAAAAAAAAACAACGAAAUUAAAUAAAUUAAAAACGAAAAUUUUGAGCAGUGUUUUUUUUUUUUUUUGUUUGUUUGUUUGUUUGUCGAUAAAUAUAUAUUACAUAAAUUAAUAAUAUUUACCGUAUAUUAAUAUUAUUAUUAAUAUAUUACGUGCUAAAUAUUAGCUUACUUAUGGACACUGAAACACACGUGUUCGUUUUUCAGACGAAAAAAAAAAUUGAAAAAAAAAAAAAUACAACGAUAAACGAGAAAUUUGUAUUACUUAUCAUACGUUAUAACAUUGUUAUAUUAUUUAUUAUAUUUAUGUAUAUUUAUGCAUAGACGAAACCAACAAUACAUAAUAUAUUAUUUAUUAUUAUUAUUAUAAUUAAUUUGGUCUUAAUGAAUCGUAAAUUUAAGUAUAGUGUCAUUAAGAAUGCAACUAAGCGUCGUCGAGUUUAUUAUUAAGGAUUAUAAAAUAAUUAUAAUGUUAUGAUGGCGCGAAGAGAAAGCUAGAAAAAAUUAAAAAAAAAAACAAAAUAAUAAUAACGAGUUUUGGUCCUGUAUUUGUUUUAUGAACAAUAUUGAUGCUGCGUGUUAUUAUAUGUUUUUCGACGAAUUUUUGUUUUAAUCGAUUUAUAAAAAAAAAAGGGUUUGUUUUUUUUUUUUAUCAUAAGUGUUUAAUUACGAGAUUGUUUUUAGAUUCUGAGCGUAUUUUUUUUUUUUUAUUAGUUUACAACGAUAAUUAUAAAUAAAUUCAAAUAUACACAAUACAUUACACGUUCACGCGUAACGUAUUAUAAAUACAGUAAUGUGUUCACCUAUUUACAAUAUACCUACACUGGCUUUACACUAUGGUUCCUACACUAUAAGGACACGCACAAAAAAGAGAUUUUUCACGCAUACAAAUAUAUUAUUAUAUAUCUGUGGCUGGGUUCAAGCGAGGCCAAUGUAAAAAACAAAAAAAAAUUAGUACUACAAUAAUUGAAUCGAUCAACGGAUAAAAGUGUUAAAUAACGUUCGUUUUAUGUUUUUUUCUUUUCUUCUGAAACUGGUGUCAUUUCGUUAAUUUCUGGUGUGUUUCAGAGACGUGUGUAACGUAUUUCGGAACAAAUAUACACGUAUUUAUGGAAAUAUUGAUUAACGUGUACGCAUUACAUAGUUUGAGUUUUUGUUAGCAUACGGUUACUGAACAAUAUGUUAAAAAUGGCAUAUAUUAACACAAAUAUCCGCUGAUCUCUUUCAAUUAUUGACUUUACGUUAGAUUUUUGGAAAUAAAUCCGUUUUUUUUUGCAACACACGAUUUUCAAUUUAAUUUUGAAAUUUUUUUUUUCUACAUUGACUCUUCACCUAACCAAGCCACUGCAGUUAUAUAAAUAAUUUGUAUUGUAACGGAGAGUUUUUUUCAUAAAAUAUAUACGCGUCACAAUCGACUAAGAAUUUUUUUUUUUUUGUAUAUGUAGAUAAAACGAUUACAAUAUGUUUUUUUUUUUUUCAGUUAAAUAUUAUUAUUUAGACUAAUAAUUUAUUAAAUAAUAUUGAUUUGUUUCCCCUCCCCCCCCCCUCGUAGUACAUAAUAAUAAUUUUUGUAAUAUUAUACUAUAUUAUUAUUAUUAUUAUUAUAUACCAGUAAUAAUAUAUGCACCAACAUAAUUUUACACAGCACGUUUUAGAGCUUAUUUAAACAAUUUUAUAACAUAAUACAAUAUUAUAUGUAGGUACUUAUUCAGUUAGUGUUAUUAUAAUAUGGUUAUAUAAGUAAUAAUAAGUUAUACAUCGUCAAUUCUACAGCCGACUUAUCUAUAUGUACGGUAUUAUACUAUAGUUUUUUUUUUUUUUUUUUGUUUUUUUUUUGCUUUUUACAUAUAUAAUAUAAUACGCGCUUAACAUUGUUACGAUUAAAUAACAUUUCGAAUUCGUAUUAUACCGUCGUAAUAUGCACUCUACAUUAUGUAUCAUAAUGAUGUAAACAUUAACGAGGUGUAAGACGUUAUCGUAUUAUUAUACUCGUCGCACGGUGGCUAAAUAUUACCGUAUAUAGGUGUGUUACGGCGCGGGCGACUCCGUACGGUCGGACGCGCGUUGAUAGGCCGCGAGCGUAGCGCGUGGACGGCCGCCAACGCGCGGUUUCAGUGGCGAUUUCGUCGUCGUGUUACGCGCGUGUACGCCACGACAGCAUGACACAGACCGAUUAAAAAGGGCCGCUCGGUUCUCGAUUGACGGUCGCCUGCAUUGGCCUACACGCGAUCGCGUCGCAUGUUGCACGUGCGUAAAUGUAGCCGCCGGCUUCUCGUUGGCUGUAACGCAUAACGGCAACGUACGUUGUAUUGGCGCCGUCCGACGCGUCGAGGAGGUCGUCGUCACCGUGUACAGCCUCAUGACUCUGCAUACGGUUUUCGGGAAUCCCCGACGGUCGUCACUUCCGGCUACCCCCCCGUCGUCUCCCGGGUCGAUUGCCACUCGAUCGUCUGUAGACGGUACACCGCACGAAAACGCGACGCGCCGUACGAUAAUCCGUCAAUUUCGUCACGGUGUAUACGCGUAUAGCGGCGGCACACAAAUCCGGCGAUCGAUUUUUUAAGUUUUAAUUUUUACACGUUUCUUCUAGCGUUUAAAUAUUUUCAAAACGGACGCGGGCCUGCGGUCCACGACCGAAACGCCGUAGACGAUGCCGUCGUCGUGCCUAUAUACGUAUAUUUAGCCGCACGGACACUCGAAUAUUAUGUUAUUGAUUUUUUUUUUUUUUCGUAGCAAAAGAAAUUUAAAAAAAAAAAAAAAUGACCGCAGUUAAAAAAAAAAAAAAAAAAAAAAAAAAAAAAAUUUNNNNNNNNNNNAAAUUUUUUUUUUUUUUUUUUUUUUUUUUUUUUUAUAUAAUUAAGCGAAACGUUCAACGUACACCGGAUAGUAUUUAAUAAUAGUUAAU
rnacentral:lncRNA from 1 species